rnacentral:miRNA from 8 species
UGUGGGGAAGCAGCUGCCAUGC